rnacentral:rRNA from 1 species
CCCUACGGGGGGCAGCAGUGAGGAAUAUUGGUCAAUGGGCGAGAGCCUGAACCAGCCAUCCCGCGUGCAGGAAGACGGCCCUAUGGGUUGUAAACUGCUUUUUUAUGGGAAGAAAAAGCCCUACGUGUAGGGCACUGACGGUACCAUAUGAAUAAGCAUCGGCUAACUCCGUGCCAGCAGCCGCGGUAAUACGGAGGAUGCGAGCGUUAUCCGGAUUUAUUAGGUUUAAAGGGUGUGUAGGCGGGUUAUUAAGUCAGUGGUGAAAUCUCAGAGCUUAACUCUGAAACUGCCAUUGAUACUGGUAAUCUUGAGUACAGUUGAAGUAGGCGGAAUGUGUAAUGUAGCGGUGAAAUGCUUAGAUAUUACACAGAACACCGAUUGCGAAGGCAGCUUACUAAGCUGUUACUGACGCUGAUGCACGAAAGCGUGGGGAGCGAACAGGAUUAGAUACCCCGGUAGUCC